AAAAAGGAAGUACAGGAAGUUUCUGCCUCUUACAAUGGAGUUGAUGGAUGCUUGAGCUCCACAUUGGAACAUCAGGUGACUUCUCACCACCAGUCCUCAAAUAAAAACAAGAAAGU